rnacentral:lncRNA from 1 species
UUUUUUUUAAUCCCACAGUGUUUUUGUUUUGAUCACGCACCCUGAACUUCUGCAAUGAAUAGGGGAAGAGGCCUAUGAAAUUUUGUUUACAAUACAACUCCAUUCAUUAUGCCAUACAGACUGAGUCCCAAACUCAGACCAUCCUGCGUUAUGAGUGAGGAACAGAUUCAGUGGAAGCUGCAGAGACUGUACUUCCCAAGACUGAGUACUGGGUACUCUCAAAUGGCUGAAGCAUUGGAUUUGAACUCACCCCAGGCAGAAGAUUUACCAGCUAGGAACCCAGCACUACAAUGAGUUCCACAGUAACCAGAAAUAUUAUUAUAUCUCUCCAGGUCUGUCAGUGAGGUAUGAUUAGGGCCUGUCUGCAGACCUAGAUAUGCAAAACAUACUAAAAAAGUACAAUUAUUG